AUUGAACGCUGGCGGAAUGCUUUACACAUGCAAGUCGAGCGGCAGCGCGGGGCAACCUGGCGGCGAGCGGCGAACGGGUGAGUAAUGCAUCGGAACGUACCCCGUCGUGGGGGAUAACUACCCGAAAGGGUAGCUAAUACCGCAUACGACCUGAGGGUGAAAGCGGGGGACCGAAAGGCCUCGCGCGAUGGGAGCGGCCGAUGCCGGAUUAGCUAGUUGGUAGGGUAAAGGCCUACCAAGGCGACGAUCCGUAGCUGGUCUGAGAGGACGACCAGCCACACUGGAACUGAGACACAGUCCAGACUCCUACGGGAGGCAGCAGUGGGAAUUUGGACAAUGGGCGAAAGCCUGAUCCAGCCAUUCCGCGUGAGUGAAGAAGGCCU
rnacentral:rRNA from 1 species